rnacentral:rRNA from 1 species
AUUGAACGCUGGCGGCAGGCUUAACACAUGCAAGUCGAACGAGUGGCGGACGGGUGAGUAAUGCUUGGGAAUCUAGCUUAUGGAGGGGGAUAACUACGGGAAACUGUAGCUAAUACCGCGUACCAUAGGAUGAGCCCAAGUGGGAUUAGGUAGUUGGUGGGGUAAAGGCUCACCAAGCCGACGAUUUCUAGCUGGUCUGAGAGGGUGAUCAGCCAAAAUGGGACUGGGAAACGGGCCAAACUCCCUCGGGGGGCAGGCGGGGGGAAAUUUUGCAAAUGGGCGGAAACCGGAGGAGCCCAGCCCGCUGGAAUAAGAAGGGCUUUGGGUUUGAAAGUUCUUUCGGUAGCGAGGCGUUAACUACAGAAGAAGCACCGGCUAACUCCGUGCCAGCAGCCGCGGUAAUAC